rnacentral:rRNA from 1 species
UGGGGAAUUUUGGACAAUGGGGGCAACCCUGAUCCAGCCAUGCCGCGUGAGUGAAGAAGGCCUUCGGGUUGUAAAGCUCUUUCGGACGGAACGAAAUGGUUACGGAUAAUACCUGUGACUGAUGACGGUACUGUAAGAAGAAGCACCGGCUAACUACGUGCCAGCAGCCGCGGUAAUACGUAGGGUGCGAGCGUUAAUCGGAAUUACUGGGCGUAAAGCGUGCGCAGGCGGUUCGCCAAGUCAGGUGUGAAAUCCCCGGGCUUAACCUGGGAAUUGCGCUUGAAACUAGCGGGCUUGAGUGUGGCAGAGGGGGGUGGAAUUCCACGUGUAGCAGUGAAAUGCGUAGAGAUGUGGAGGAACACCGAUGGCGAAGGCAGCCCCCUGGGUCAACACUGACGCUCAUGCACGAAAGCGUGGGGAGCAAACAGGAUUAGAUACCCCCGUAGUCCCUGAGCGGGCUGGCAAGGCGCAU